rnacentral:rRNA from 1 species
UACGAAGGGGGCUAGCGUUGCUCGGAAUCACUGGGCGUAAAGCGCACGUAGGCGGUUUGCUAAGUCAGGGGUGAAAUCCUGGAGCUCAACUCCAGAACUGCCUUUGAUACUGGCGGACUUGAGUCCGGGAGAGGUGAGUGGAACUGCGAGUGUAGAGGUGAAAUUCGUAGAUAUUCGCAAGAACACCAGUGGCGAAGGCGGCUCACUGGCCCGGUACUGACGCUGAGGUGCGAAAGCGUGGGGAGCAAACAGGG